UCAGGUCUACAACAGAGACAGAGGCCUGGGUCACAAUGGCCCCUGGUGGCUAGAUGAAACAUACUUCUUCCUCUUGUUCCUUGGGCCUUUUCCAUCGGCCAUCAAGACCUUCCAACUGAAACGUACUGAACGUUCACAGAUAUUGCUCGAAACACCUUAAUACUAGACAGAGGGCUGGCGAUGUCCCAGAACACUGACCUGAAGAUGUCUACUCCCUGACAUUAGUCAGGGCUCAUGUAAAUAUCAAUGGGAAGAGGCAAUAGACCGCAGCACAGUGGACCACCAGACAAUGGGAGCAUCUGGGAGCAUGCCAUGCUCAUACUUCACUGUAUCCCAGGCCUUUGGGAGAUGUGGGAAAAGCACACACUUCCAUAAUCUCCAGCUGGUCUUUGAGCAUGGACUCAAGAGUUAGAAUUUCAUUACAGAGAAAUCCAGCUGAUUCUGACCAUCUGGCAGGCAGCUGUCAGUGGCAGAUGUUAGGUAAUAUUCACUUUUAUGAAGAAACUUAGCCAGACUUAACUUAAAACAUGGCUUCAUAUAUCCUAGCCUGUUACCUCUUUGAACAUGGCUACACAGAAUGGAAUGUGAGACUUACAUAUCCUUCAGUAGGUAUCGGGGCACCUUCAACUCAACCUUAAAACUGGUGCAGACCAACCUGAGCAUUGCAGUGGAGCCUUCCUGAGGCUCCAAAUGGACACCUCAGUGUAGCCAAAUCUGCUCCAUGUCCAAGGCCUGAGAUAAUAUCUAAUGCAUGAAUGAAAGAAUACAGUAUAGAGCUCCUGAUGGGUCUCACUGUGUAGUCCUAGCUGUCCUGAAACUGGAAUUCAGUAUGGAGACCAGGCUGGUCACAAACUCACAAAGCUCUAUCUGCUGUGCUACCAUGCCUGGCCCUUCUUUCUUUUUAAGAGCUUCUCAGCAAAAUUCCUGUCAACCAAUAUGAACUGCAGUCUAACACCCUGCGUAUUUUAUGAUAGCAUCAACAACGCAACAAGGUAUAACUUGUGGUUAUCAUGCAGACGUAACAAACAAAAUGGCAGC